GAUGAACGCUGGCGGCGUGCCUAAUACAUGCAAGUCGAGCGAACAGAUGAGGAGCUUGCUCCUCUGACGUUAGCGGCGGACGGGUGAGUAACACGUGGAUAACCUCCCUAUAAGACUGGGAUAACUUCGGGAAACCGGAGCUAAUACCGGAUAAUAUAUUGAACCGCAUGGUUCAAUAGUGAAAGACGGUUUUGCUGUCACUUAUAGAUGGAUCCGCGCCGCAUUAGCUAGUUGGUAAGGUAACGGCUUACCAAGGCAACGAUGCGUAGCCGACCUGAGAGGGUGAUAGGCAACACUGGAACUGAGACACGGUCCAGACUCCUACGGGAGGCAGCAGUAGGGAAUCUUACGCAAUGGGCGAAAGCCUGACGGAGCAACGCCGCGUGAGUGAUGAAGGUCUUCGGAUCGUAAAACUCUGUUAUUAGGGAAGAACAAAUGUGUAAGUAACUAUGCACGUCUUGACGGUACCUAAUCAGAAAGCCACGGCUAACUACGUG
rnacentral:rRNA from 1 species